rnacentral:rRNA from 1 species
GGUAAGGUAACGGCUUACCAUGGCAACGAUAGGUAGGGGCCCUGAGAGGGGGAUCCCCCACACUGGUACUGAGACACGGACCAGACUCCUACGGGAGGCAGCAGUGAGGAAUAUUGGGCAAUGGAGGAGACUCUGACCCAGCCAUGCCGCGUGCAGGAAGACUGCCCUAUGGGUUGUAAACUGCUUUUAUACAGGAAGAAACACUAGUACGUGUACUAGCUUGACGGUACUGUAAGAAUAAGGACCGGCUAACUCCGUGCCAGCAGCCGCGGUAAUACGGAGGGUCCGAGCGUUAUCCGGAAUCAUUGGGUUUAAAGGGUCCGCAGGCGGUCAAUUAAGUCAGAGGUGAAAUACCAUAGCUCAACUAUGGAACUGCCUUUGAUACUGGUUGACUUGAGUUAUAUGGAAGUAGAUAGAAUGUGUAGUGUAGCGGUGAAAUGCAUAGAGAUUACACAGAAUACCGAUUGCGAAGGCAGUCUACUACGUAUAUACUGACGCUGAGGGACGAAAGCGUGGGGAGCGAACAGGAUUAGAUACCCUGGUAGUCCACGCCGUAAACGAUGGAUACUAGUUGUUGGGCAUUAGCUCAGUGACUAAGCGAAAGUGAUAA